rnacentral:rRNA from 1 species
CCUACGGGAGGCAGCAGUGGGGAAUUUUGGACAAUGGGGGCAACCCUGAUCCAGCAAUGCCGCGUGAGUGAAGAAGGCCCUCGGGUUGUAAAGCUCUUUUGUCAGGGAAGAAACGGUGGUUCCUAAUACGAGCUGCUAAUGACGGUACCUGAAGAAUAAGCACCGGCUAACUACGUGCCAGCAGCCGCGGUAAUACGUAGGGUGCAAGCGUUAAUCGGAAUUACUGGGCGUAAAGCGUGCGCAGGCGGUUAUAUAAGACAGAGGUGAAAUCCCCGGGCUCAACCUGGGAACUGCCUUUGUGACUGUAUGGCUAGAGUGUGUCAGAGGGGGGUAGAAUUCCACGUGUAGCAGUGAAAUGCGUAGAUAUGUGGAGGAAUACCGAUGGCGAAGGCAGCCCCCUGGGAUAACACUGACGCUCAUGCACGAAAGCGUGGGGAGCAAACAGGAUUAGAUACCCUGGUAGUCCACGCCCUAAACGAUGUCUACUAGUUGUCGGGACUUAAUUGUCUUGGUAACGCAGCUAACGCGUGAAGUAGACCGCCUGGGGAUACGGUCGCAAGNUUAAAACUUAAUGAAUUGACCGGNUGNGAGNGCGAGCGACGACGAGGGAGGAGG